rnacentral:rRNA from 1 species
CCAGACUCCUACGGGAGGCAGCAGUGGGGAAUAUUGGGCAAUGGGCGCAAGCCUGACCCAGCAACGCCGCGUGAAGGAAGAAGGCUUUCGGGUUGUAAACUUCUUUUCUCAGGGACGAAGCAAGUGACGGUACCUGAGGAAUAAGCCACGGCUAACUACGUGCCAGCAGCCGCGGUAAUACGUAGGUGGCAAGCGUUAUCCGGAUUUACUGGGUGUAAAGGGCGUGUAGGCGGGACUGCAAGUCAGAUGUGAAAACCACGGGCUCAACCUGUGGCCUGCAUUUGAAACUGUAGUUCUUGAGUACUGGAGAGGCAGACGGAAUUCCUAGUGUAGCGGUGAAAUGCGUAGAUAUUAGGAGGAACACCAGUGGCGAAGGCGGUCUGCUGGACCGUGACUGACGUUGAGGCUCGAGAGCGUGGGGAGCAAACAGGAUUAGAUACCCGCGUAC